rnacentral:rRNA from 1 species
UACGUAGGGGGCUAGCGUUGUCCGGAAUCAUUGGGCGUAAAGAGCGUGUAGGCGGUCCGGUAAGUCCGCUGUGAAAGUCGGGGGCUCAACCCUCGAAUGCCGGUGGAUACUGUCGGGCUAGAGUGCGGAAGAGGCGAGUGGAAUUCCUGGUGUAGCGGUGAAAUGCGCAGAUAUCAGGAGGAACACCAAUUGCGAAGGCAGCUCGCUGGGACGUAACUGACGCUGGAGGAGCGAAAGCAUGGGGAGCGAACAGG